UUAAUUACUCUAUUAGGGUUUUACUCAAGUCGGUCUGGUAAUUACUACAUUUAAAAAUAAAUAUUUAGAACUGUGCAUGCGCAGCUACUAGUGGCUUGUGCGCGCGCUUCCACUAGCGGAGUUUAAAUGCCCGACGCGCCAAAUCGGGGUACUUUUGCUACGACGACCAUAGUCAUCUCUGGCCCGUUCCGGGAACUUCGGACGUUAAAGGUUAAGUGAGAAGUGUUAGUGAAUCUCACGUAUUUAUUAGUAUAGUUAAUAAUGUUGUGUCAAGUGCUGAGAUUAUAAAGUACCAAAUAAGAAGUGACAAGAUGUUAAUAAUACUUUGUUUAACUACACCACGUGUGUCUGCGGCUAUAUAGCGUCAAAGAGUAGGAUGAUCGGUGAAUAAUGAGUUGGAAAGAAGUCGAAAGAAAGAGCCACGGCCUAAUAAGGCUAAUAAGUGAUGAUAUCCUUACUUUUGAAUAUUCUAUUCAUCUCCAUAUUUUCAGAUAUCGUCAACAGGUAUUUGUCCGUGAGGAUGACAGAAGAAGCUUCACAACAGCAUGCAGAAAUAAGGAUGAGACACUCAGAGAGGCCUAUUGGAUAAUCCUACUUCACUUGCACUUUCAAAGCAGCCAGUAAAUUCGGACAGUAUUUUGCAAAGAUCAGAAACUGCCCGACCACCACAAGGAACAAACAGCAACACUAGAUACAUACAACUAAGCGAGCAGCACUCUCAGUGGGACACGUCAUCAAAAUCCGGGCCCUCUUGAUAAAUGAUGGGAAUAUGCAGAGAGGACAGCAGAAAACAAGAUUCCAAAAGGAAUAUUAAACUAUAGAUCGAGAGGAAAAAGAGUUGUUGGAUGCCCUGAAGAAGGUGCGGAUUGAUAAAGACUCCAGUCAUCUCUCAGCAACCACAAACAUCACACUGACAAUAGAACAUAUAAGGGCACUUUCAUUCAUCGGCAGAAUACAAAUACACAAGGAACAUCAACAACAAAACGACACCGCACAGUUACCAAAAAAUGUUCAUUUUAUUAUUCAAAUUAAAGGAAAAGAAAAAGUGAAAACAUUUAAAUUAUAAUCCAUGUUAAUUAAUAUAAAUAUGAAAUGUACACGCGUCUAGCAAAAGAAGAACAACCGUUUCUAUGCAAAGGCGAGAUAAACGCACCUUUGUAACGAUAGAAGAAUUUUUGGAAAACAGUGCUUUCUGUGUAGUUCGUGCCGAGUUGUUUUAUGAAAGACAGUCUGAAGCAAAGAGUUAGAAUCCCGUUUGAAGGCGGUGUCAAAUUCCUCCUCCUUAGCCCUGCGAGGCUUAGGAGGCGACGAAAAAGAACCCAGUGCCUGGCGGUAUAACCGGGCCACCUUGUUCCUGGGGGACAUAAAUACGGGGACCUGGCCGUCCAGGUUGGGGGAGUCUCGAACCUGAGAUGGUAAAAUGUGAUCGUGAGUCCUGAGGGACUCGGACCUGGGAAUGAAUGCGCUGGCGAGAGGCAGUAGCAACUGAAAAUAACAGUCCCAUCCUCUCGUGAGAGAGGAAGUUACAUAAGGACUGUAACCUCAAGUGUUCAGUUGGAAAAUAAAAUUAGUGGUCGUGAGUCUCAAGGGGCUUGUCGCCAAGACGAACUGAUUAGUGGUAAACUACCAGCUGUAAAGUAAAUCUGACUCUGACAUGGGUUGUCCAGUGACUGAGGUUAGCUCUUUCUAAGGGACCCAAAGACUAGGUGUGUGUCUUCGCCCUCACCUGAGGACGGAAACAGAUCUAGGGCCGAAACAUUGUAUUCUCUAGUUUUUAGAAUACGGGACGA